UGUUUCGGCUAGGGGGUCAUCCCGACUUACCAACCCGAUGCAAACUACGAAUACCGAAGAAUGUUAUCACGGGAGACACACGGCGGGUGCUAACGUCCGUCGUGAAGAGGGAAACAACCCAGACCGCCAGCUAAGGUCCCAAAGUCAUGGUUAAGUGGGAAACGAUGUGGGAAGGCACAGACAGCCAGGAUGUUGGCUUAGAAGCAGCCAUCAUUUAAAGAAAGCGUAAUAGCUCACUGGUCGAGUCGGCCUGCGCGGAAGAUGUAACGGGGCUAAACCAUGCACCGAAGCUGCGGCAGCGACACUAUGUGUUGUUGGGUAGGGGAGCGUUCUGUAAGCCUGCGAAGGUGACCUGUGAGGGUUGCUGGAGGUAUCAGAAGUGCGAAUGCUGACAUAAGUAACGAUAAAGCGGGUGAAAAGCCCGCUCGCCGGAAGACCAAGGGUUCCUGUCCAACGUUAAUCGGGGCAGGGUGAGUCGACCCCUAAGGCGAGGCCGAAAGGCGUAGUCGAUGGGAAACAGGUUAAUAUUCCUGUACUUGGUGUUACUGCGAAGGGGGGACGGAGAAGGCUAUGUUAGCCGGGCGACGGUUGUCCCGGUUUAAGCAUGUAGGCUGGUUAUCCAGGCAAAUCCGGAUAAUCAAGGCUGAGGUGUGAUGACGAGGCACUACGGUGCUGAAGUAACAAAUGCCCUGCUUCCAGGAAAAGCCUCUAAGCAUCAGGUAACAUCAAAUCGUACCCCAAACCGACACAGGUGGUCAGGUAGAGAAUACCAAGGCGCUUGAGAGAACUCGGGUGAAGGAACUAGGCAAAAUGGUGCCGUAACUUCGGGAGAAGG
rnacentral:rRNA from 2 species